rnacentral:rRNA from 1 species
GACGAACGCUGGCGGCGUGCUUAACACAUGCAAGUCGAACGGAAAGGCCCUGCUUUUGUGGGGUGCUCGAGUGGCGAACGGGUGAGUAACACGUGAGUAACCUGCCCUUGACUUUGGGAUAACUUCAGGAAACUGGGGCUAAUACCGGAUAGGAGCUCCUGCUGCAUGGUGGGGGUUGGAAAGUUUCGGCGGUUGGGGAUGGGCUCGCGGUUUAUCAGCUUGUUGGGGGGGUAGUGGCUUACCAAGGCUUUGACGGGUAGCCGGCCUGAGAGGGUGACCGGCCACAUUGGGACUGAGAUGCGGCCCAGACUCCUACGGGAGGCAGCAGUGGGGAAUAUUGCACAAUGGGCGGAAGCCUGAUGCAGCAACGCCGCGUGCGGGAUGACGGCCUUCGGGUUGUAAACCGCUUUCGCCUGUGACGAAGCGUGAGUGACGGUAAUGGGUAAAGAAGCACCGGCUAACUACGUG